GAGAUAGAGGCGCGCCCUGUCAAGAGUACCGCGCAGAAUGGCCGGCCGGAGGUGAAUCCCUGGGGAGGAUCCGGGCCGCGCGGGAAAGGGACGGGCGCCGAAGCGGACUGACUUUGGCAGGGAUGUCCGCUGGCCGUCGGGAGAAGAUCCCUCCGGCUGUCGCAGCAAUGCGGAGCGCUAUC
rnacentral:ncRNA from 1 species